rnacentral:rRNA from 1 species
GUAACAUAAAUUUUAUAAUAACCUACCUUAAUAAAAUCAUUUCUUAUUUUAACCAGAGAUCCAAACAUAUUCCCUACCCCCGUAAGGCUUACAUAUAAUUUUUUUAUAUUAUAGAUCUCUCCUAGUACCUUUUGCAUCAUGGCUUAGUAAAUUUAAUAGUUAACCUUCAAUCCCGAAAUCAACACGAGCUAUUCUUAAUUUGUUUAGAACCCAAAAUUUAUUGUUGCACUAAUAUUUUAAAAAUUAACAAUAGAGGCUACAUACCUACCGCGUUUGAGUAUAGCUGGUUAUUCUCUAUUUCUAUCGAAGUAGAAGUAUUUAAAUCUAAAUACCCUAGUUUUAUUAGGAUAAGCUAAUAAAAUUUUAUCUUAUUUUUAUCCUAAAGAAUAUACUAUUUUAUAAGCUUUAAACCAGCUACUAAAUUUUUACCACGUUCUAGUUUAAUUUACCUUAAUCUAAAAAUAAUAAACAUACCAAUAUUUAUAUAAAGAGAAUCUUUCUGCAUACUUAUAAACCAUAAAAGACAAUGCUAAGAUUAGUAUUUACAUAAUUUAUUUAAAAAUUAAUAUCAAAUAUAAAUUUAUUUGCACUAAAAUAUAAAAUUAAUAAACUUUGCAAACCUUGAAUUCGACUGUUUACCAAAAACAUUGCCUUUAGGAAUAAUAUUAAAGGUUCAUCCUGCCCAGUGAAUUACUUUCAACGGCCGCGGUACCCUAACCGUGCAAAGGUAGCAUAAUCAUUUGCCUUUUAAUUGUAGGCUAGUAUGAACGGAUAAACGAAAUUCUCACUGUAUCAAUUUUAUAAACAAAAAUUAGACCUUAGGUGAAGAUACCUAAAUCAUUUUGAAAGACAAGAAGACCCUAUAGAGUUUUAGUGAAAACAUUCUCCCCACAAUCCUUCACUUUGGUUGGGGCGACCUAGGAUUAUUAAAAACAUCCUUUCACAUAAAGAAUAAAUAUUUCUUACAAAUGACCCUGACUUCAGAUUCUAAAAAUAAACUACCUUAGGGAUAACAGGCUUAUCUUCCUAAAGAGUUCAAAUUGACAGGAAGGUCUGGCACCUCGAUGUUGGCUUAGAGUAACCCACUAAUGCAAAAGUUAGUUUUGGUCGGUUUGUUCAACCGUUAAACCUCUACAUGAGCUGAGUUCAGACCGGCGCAAGCCAGGUUAGAUUCUAUCUUCAAACAUAAAAAGAAUAUAUUAGUACGAAAGGACCAUAUAUUUCUAAUUCUAUUAACCCACUGAAACCAUAUAACAUUUAAUUAAUAAUAUAAACACAUUAUCCUAAUACA